rnacentral:rRNA from 1 species
GAUGGACGCUAGCGGCAGGCUUAACACAUGCAAGUCGAGGGGCAGCGCGGGAUAGCAAUAUCCUGGCGGCGACCGGCGGAAGGGUGCGUAACGCGUGAGCGACAUGCCCGUUGCCCGGGGACAACCGGUGGAAACGCCGACUAAUCCCCGAUGGGAUAUUGUGCCGCAUGGCACGAUAUUGAAAGUUACGGCGGCGACGGAUUGGCUCGCGUCCGAUUAGCUUGUUGGCGGGGUAACGGCCCACCAAGGCUGCGAUCGGUAGGGGUUCUGAGAGGAAGGCCCCCCACAAUGGGACUGAGACACGGCCCAUACUCCUACGGGAGGCAGCAGUGAGGAAUAUUGGUCAAUGGGCGGAAGCCUGAACCAGCCAUGCCGCGUGCGGGAAGGAGGCCCUAUGGGCUGUGAACCGCUUUUGCCUGGGGGCAAUAAGGGCGUCGCGCACGUCCGAUGAGAGUACCAGGCGAAUAAGCAUCGGCUAACUCCGUG